UGGGGAAUAUUGGACAAUGGGCGCAAGCCUGAUCCAGCCAUGCCGCGUGAGUGAUGAAGGCCCUAGGGUUGUAAAGCUCUUUCACCGGUGAAGAUAAUGACGGUAACCGGAGAAGAAGCCCCGGCUAACUUCGUGCCAGCAGCCGCGGUAAUACGAAGGGGGCUAGCGUUGUUCGGAUUUACUGGGCGUAAAGCGCACGUAGGAGGACUUUUAAGUCAGGGGUGAAAUCCCGGGGCUCAACCCCGGAACUGCCUUUGAUACUGGAAGUCUUGAGUAUGGUAGAGGUGAGUGGAAUUCCGAAUGUAGAGGUGGAAUUCGUAGAUAUUCGGGGAGACACCAGUGGGGAAGGCGGCUCACUGGACCAUUACUGACGCUGAGGUGCGAAAGCGUGGGGGGCAAACAGG
rnacentral:rRNA from 1 species